rnacentral:misc_RNA from 1 species
UACGUAGGUGGCAAGCGUUGUCCGGAUUUAUUGGGCGUAAAGCGCGCGCAGGCGGUUUCUUAAGUCUGAUGUGAAAGCCCCCGGCUUAACCGGGGAGGGUCAUUGGAAACUGGGGAACUUGAGUGCAGAAGAGGAGAGUGGAAUUCCAAGUGUAGCGGUGAAAUGCGUAGAGAUUUGGAGGAACACCAGUGGCGAAGGCGACUCUCUGGUCUGUAACUGACGCUGAGGCGCGAAAGCGUGGGGAGCAAACAGG